rnacentral:rRNA from 1 species
GAUGAACGCUGGCGGCGUGCCUAAUACAUGCAAGUCGAACGAGUUCUUCGGAACUAGUGGCGGACGGGUGAGUAACACGUUGGUACCUACCCCGAAGUGGGGAAUAACUGGCCGAAAGGUCGGCUAAUACCGCAUAAUACCGUAAGGUUAAAGCAGGAAUGCGCUUCGGGAGGGGCCUGCGUCUGAUUAGCUAGUUGGUAGUGUAAUGGACUACCAAGGCGACGAUCAGUAGCUGGAUCGAGAGGUUGACCAGCCACACUGGGACUGAGAUACGGCCCAGACUCCUACGGGAGGCAGGAGUAAGGAAUCUUCCACAAUGGACGAAAGUCUGAUGGAGCAACGCCGCGUGAAGGAUGACGGCCUUCGGGUUGUAAACUGCUUUUAUAUGGGAAGAUUAUGACGGUACCAUAUGAAUAAGGACCGGCUAACUACGUGCCAGCCGCCGCCGUAA